UACGUAUGGUGCAAGCGUUAUCCGGAUUUACUGGGUGUAAAGGGAGCGUAGACGGAUAGGCAAGUCUGGAGUGAAAGCCCGGGGCUCAACCCCGGGACUGCUUUGGAAACUGUUUAUCUAGAGUGCUGGAGAGGUAAGUGGAAUUCCUAGUGUAGCGGUGAAAUGCGUAGAUAUUAGGAGGAAUACCAGUGGCGAAGGCGGCUUACUGGACAGUAACUGACGUUGAGGCUCGAAAGCGUGGGGAGCAAACAGG
rnacentral:rRNA from 1 species